rnacentral:piRNA from 1 species
GGGCUUGCCUGCCUCUGUUGGAGAAUCUCC